rnacentral:rRNA from 1 species
ACGCUGGCGGCAGGCUUAACACAUGCAAGUCGAACGGUAACAGGGAUUAGCUUGCUAAUUUGCUGACGAGUGGCGGACGGGUGAGUAAUGCUUGGGAAUCUGGCUUAUGGAGGGGGAUAACUACGGGAAACUGUAGCUAAUACCGCGUAAAAUCUUCGGAUUAAAGAGUGGGACUUUCGAGCCACCUGCCAUAAGAUGAGCCCAAGUGGGAUUAGGUAGUUGGUUAGGUAAAGGCUGACCAAGCCGACGAUCUCUAGCUGGUCUGAGAGGAUGACCAGCCACACUGGAACUGAGACACGGUCCAGACUCCUACGGGAGGCAGCAGUGGGGAAUAUUGCACAAUGGGGGGAACCCUGAUGCAGCCAUGCCGCGUGAAUGAAGAAGGCCUUCGGGUUGUAAAGUUCUUUCGGUGACGAGGAAGGUUGAUAGGUUAAUAGCCUAUCAAAUUGACGUUAAUCACAGAAGAAGCACCGGCUAACUCCGUGCCAGCAGCCGCGGUAAUACGGGGGGUGCGAGCGUUAAUCGGAAUAACUGGGCGUAAAGGGCACGCAGGCGGUGACUUAAGUGAGAUGUGAAAGCCCCGAGCUUAACUUGGGAAUUGCAUUUCAUACUGGGUCGCUAGAGUACUUUAGGGAGGGGUAGAAUUCCACGUGUAGCGGUGAAAUGCGUAGAGAUGUGGAGGAAUACCGAAGGCGAAGGCAGCCCCUUGGGAAUGUACUGACGCUCAUGUGCGAAAGCGUGGGGAGCAAACAGGAUUAGAUACCCUGGUAGUCCACGCUGUAAACGAUGUCGAUUUGGGGAUUGGGCUUUGAGCUUGGUGCCCGUAGCUAACGUGAUAAAUCGACCGCCUGGGGAGUACGGCCGCAAGGUUAAAACUCAAAUGAAUUGACGGGGGCCCGCA